UUUAGGCUCACCUAAAUCCAGAGUCUACUGAUUCCAGGCUUUAUGCAAUGGUUUAUACAAGUACCCAAGGUCAUUCCACUUCUGAUAAAUACUCAGUGUGUUGGUGAUGUCUUACCACAUGGUUACAAGACAUCUGCAAUACUCCACAAGACAGUUUCUGCAGCAGAAGGUCUUUAGAACACUGUCAUUAAGGGCUGAGAGGUGAAGAUACAUUAGAUAAGAAAAUAGCAGACAGGGGACCCUGAAGCACUUUAAGAAACCUCAAUCUGCAGGAAAUCCUCGUCUUGGCUCCAAUCAUCAGAAAACCUGUUCUUUACCACAGAUCUCAAUCCUUGCUUCCAAUAGAGGGAUUUAGAGGAGAAUUUUGUAAGCUCCUCCCACCUUGUAUCCUGAACCACCUUCAUCAGCACCCAUGCUGGAGCUUCUCCAAAUACUAUUCUGAAUGAACGGUGAUCCCAGCUAAGACCGGCAUCCUUAUUUGUGCAAAGGAUCCCUUCCACUCUUGCAUAUACUUCAGUUUGGCUCCCCCGACCCCAGCUUGAAAAAAAGAGACUUUCCAUCGUGGCAUGGCUCAUGAAGUUAGCAGACACACCUGAGGCGCACGGCGUCCCGCAGGGAGCUAGUGGGCUAGACUCUCCAGGUGCUAUCAGUGAAGUAUCGCGUGAAGCCGUGGUAGUAAGAGUGCUUUCCCCAGCCUCAGAAGAAGGGUGCUGGCCACGGAGGAGGGAGGAGGCUCGCUGCUGAACGGACAUUUGCUCAAGGUGGGAAGCUGCUAUUAAAGCCACACCACUUAGGAAGAAUCAGGAAGGUGUCCUGAGAGAUCACACGUAUGGGAGAGAAAUCUCACCUUUGUAAGAGCCUUUGGGAAGAGAAGGGAUGCAGCCCCCGCGCACCGAUUAGAGCACGUGGCUGGUGCGUGAACCCUGAAACGAGGAGUGAAUGAAGGCAGGAAUUACUGGAAGGGAGGUCAGGGUUCGACGAAGACGUUCAGACGGCUAUGCUCCGCGCUGUGCUUUGAGAGCAGCCCCUGUUGAAGCUCCUCUCCAGCUCUUCACCAGUGUUCAAUUCAACCCAAAGAACCAGGAACCGAGGAGGAAGGAAAUAAUUGACAUGCAAAGCCUCUAUUUUUAGACACCUUUACACUUUUCUUUUGCUUCUAACUAGCAAGGAUUUUUCCAAACAAGCUUUUAAUUAGCAGUGAACUGAGGUUGCAAGGCAAAGUGCUACUGCAGAAUCUAGAGAGAAAGGAGAGUCCAGAGAGGCAUCGCCAAGGUCUCCAUGAUGGAGCAGAAGCUGCUGGAGCCAUAAGCCGGCAGGAGCCCUUAAAUGGUAACUGUAACAAAGUGUUGGAGGAUGUGUGUGGAUUUCUUGG